CUUAACACAUGCAAGUCGAGCGGGGAUUGGGUGCUUGCACCUAAUCUUAGCGGCGGACGGGUGAGUAAUGCUUAGGAAUCUGCCUAUUAGUGGGGGACAACAUUCCGAAAGGAAUGCUAAUACCGCAUACGUCCUACGGGAGAAAGCAGGGGAUCUUCGGACCUUGCGCUAAUAGAUGAGCCUAAGUCGGAUUAGCUAGUUGGUGGGGUAAAGGCCUACCAAGGCGACGAUCUGUAGCGGGUCUGAGAGGAUGAUCCGCCACACUGGGACUGAGACACGGCCCAGACUCCUACGGGAGGCAGCAGUGGGGAAUAUUGGACAAUGGGCGGAAGCCUGAUCCAGCCAUGCCGCGUGAGUGAGGAAGGCCUUAGGGUUGUAAAACUCUUUCAGUAGGGAAGAU
rnacentral:rRNA from 1 species